GUGUCUGCUCCCUCUCUUACCUCCCCUCUGACCCCCUCCCUGCCUCCAUCGUCCGGCCUCUGGGAGACCACAGCCUCCUCCCCAAAGCUGCUGUCCUUCCUCCGCGUGGCGGCCAGAGUGAGCCUUGGAAAAGACCCCUCUUCAGGAGACACGAGCGGUCACUGGUUUCCUGCUUUGCUUGGAAUAAAACCCCACCACCCCACCACGCCAGCCCCCUGCUUCUCCUUGGAAUUCCUUCCUGGGGCCUUCAGGACCUGCCUCCUCACUCACUCAUCUCACUCCUCCAGGAAGCCCUCUCUGACCACUGCCACACCUCUCUGCUCACUCUGGAAGUUCCUAGUGUGCAGUUUUAAGCCCCGCUGGGACCCAGGCUCCUUGAGGGCAAGCCCUCCGAUUUGGUUUGUACUUUUCAAUCCCCCAGCACCUAGAACAAUGCCCAGCACACAGAGCUCAACCGUUGUUUGCCGACAGGAUCCUGAAGUGAUGGAGCAAGUUUAUCAGUGAAGGAUACGUUUGUGAGCACUGGGAACCCUCCCCAGCACAGCCAGACCUGCCCGUGGUCUCUUGACAGUUUUAAAAAAAAUUCUCGAAUGCUGCCCUCCCCAUCAGUCAACCUCAUGAGCUGGUCCUGUUUAACUCCCUUCUCUGCUAGCCUGCCACAGGCUGAGAGACAAACACCUCCCUCGUCCCCAUUCGUCCCCUGCGAUGUCAGACCUGCAGGAGUGGGAAGGGCUUGUGUGCUAACUCAUCUCUGCAGGGAGACGUAAAAUUUGCCCAUAAAUAAAACCUUCUGUCGUUCAGCUCGAACGUUAAAUUUCAUCGGUCUGUAGCAUGUGUUUCAUUAUAGCAGACACCAACGCGUCCUUAAAAUCGGAAUUCUGGAACGCUGCCCUGGCUUGCAGAAUUCCCACAAGGAGACUCCAGUGCGGCCUUGGAGACAGGCUCUGGACCUCACCUUCCAAAGUGGUGCUGGCAGCCACGUUUUUACUUCACGUGGCACUUCGUGCUGAUUGAAUAAGUGGCAUCAGACGCUCUCAUCGGCAUCCAGCUGCUUCCAGUCUGCAGGCUGGAAGCCAGUCCCGCAGCCAAAGCAGCUGGAAUUGGGUCCACAGUGGAAAAAAUAAGGCUAGAAGCGGGUGGCUCUCCAAAGUCAGCUGAGGGGAAGGAAGAGGCCGCCAUCGACGCCAGGCUCUCCGGCCGGCGUUACACCUUUGCUACUCAGAGUACGGGACCAGCCGCCUCAGCAUCAUUUGAGAGCUUGCUGUGCAGAAAUCUCUGGCUUCACCCAGAUUUACAAACUCGGACUCUGCAUCUUAACAAGGCCUGCAGGAUUGGUACGCGCACCACGGGCCGCGGGUUCCCCCUCACGUGAGGAACACAGCUGAUCUGAGUCGGAGGCCCUUCUCGGGUCCUUUCCGGGAAGCAGGGUGUGAGGACCCCGGUGGCAGUCACCAGCUUCCACCGCGACACAAGAGAGCGAGAGAGAGAGGAAGGGAAGUGUGUGCCCUUGCAAUGGCCGUCUUCACGGACGGGUCGGCCCUGCCUUCCCAAGGUGAAGUACCACCCGCGCUAUCUCUGCAGACUCCGGAGAACAGCGUCCCGCAGGCGCCCCUGGACUACAGUGGCAAGAAGGUACUUCUGAGUUUCUGUCUCCCUGGGGCCCAGCAACCUCUCGUGGGUGACGGUAAUCCUGCCCGCUCCCUCGUGGGCGUGCGUUUAGGACCAUCAGGGUGGGAAGCAGUUUGCCGGCUCAGAGCGGGACACAGCGUAGGAUGCGAUCCUCGCGUCACGUAGGCCAGGUGCCUGAUGCCUCCGCCCUGCGAGGUCACCUCAUGUCGCCCCUCGCUGGGAGGCCCCAUCGGGGUCCCCCCCGCCACCGCCGUGUUUUCUGCUCCCUCUACUCCCACACUAACCUGAGGGCCUCAUGGGCCUGCUGUCCUGCCUUGCGAUACAAGUACCCACAUAUGGUUCUGCCCUUUCUAAUAGGACAGGGUACUUCCCAGGCCUUAUGUCCCUCGUGGGCACUGAAUCACAGCCUGAUUCUAAAGGGACCUGAGAGGGCAGGGUUACCUGUGUUUAAGUGUUCAGGGUCACCAGGGCUUAGGCCCAACUCCACGAUUUAUUAGCUAUGUGGUUCUGCGUGAGCCGCUUAACUGUGACUCCGUUUCCCCGUUUGCAAAGCAGGGAUAACGGUAGUCCCUAACUGACGGGAUCCCUGGGAAUAGUAAAUAAAAACAUGUUAAAUAUUUUGUACCAGCAUCUACAUUAGCUGACAUACAUUAGCUGUUAUUAAACCGUAUUUCAAAGCCGCUAAGAUA